rnacentral:rRNA from 1 species
GACGAACGCUGGCGGCGUGCUUAACACAUGCAAGUCGAACGAUGAAGCCUAGCUUGCUAGGUGGAUUAGUGGCGAACGGGUGAGUAAUACGUGAGUAACCUACCUUUAACUCUGGGAUAAGCCUGGGAAACUGGGUCUAAUACCGGAUACGACCAAUCUCCGCAUGGGGUGUUGGUGGAAAGCGUUAUGUAGUGGUUAUAGAUGGGCUCACGGCCUAUCAGCUCGUUGGUGAGGUAACGGCUCACCAAGGCGACGACGGGUAGCCGGCCUGAGAGGGUGACCGGCCACACUGGGACUGAGACACGGCCCAGACUCCUACGGGAGGCAGCAGUGGGGAAUAUUGCACAAUGGGCGCAAGCCUGAUGCAGCGACGCCGCGUGAGGGAUGACGGCCUUCGGGUUGUAAACCUCUGUUAGCAGGGAAGAAGAGAGAUUGACGUACCUGCAGAGAAAGCGCCG